ensembl:lncRNA
CCAGGUGCUUCCUGGUGUUUUAUUGCAGGAUCACAGGCAGGGGAACCGAAACGGUCGGCAGCGCGUCCAGGAAGCGUCGCCGACAGAUAGAGAAAUGCAACAAUAUCCGCGACUCUCUGUCAGGUUGCCGCGAAACUAGAAGGUUCGCAGGCAGCGCGCGACGGUGUUUUGUUUUCCCGCCGUCGGCGCGAGCAGCUGCUGACGCGAUGCUUUAGCCAUGGACAGCAGGAUAAACGAGAAUCCUGCGAGAACUUUUGAUUUGGCUCUUCAGGUUGCAUGUCCAUCGUCUGAAAAUGAAGAUGGUGCGAGCAUAUGGUUUGCAACUUGUGAUUACCUGCUGCAGCCCCUUUCCAGCUUUUCUCCUCAUGCACCCAAACCGGAGUCGCGGCUGCCCCCCUUUAAGAGGUAAAGACAUUUUAAUGUCCAUGAGAUGUAGCCUAGCUUGAGAUAAGGCAGUUUGAUGACUGAUGUGAUUAGCAAGCUUGGCAAUUCCUCCAGAACCCCCUCCCUCCUGUGUCUGUACUGUGCAUAUAAAUUACCCUUGAGUCAGGAGUUAAGGUGUG